GACGAACGCUGGCGGUAUGCUUAACACAUGCAAGUCGAACGGUGUCUUCGGACAUAGUGGCGGACGGGUGAGUAACGCGUGAGAAUCUGCCUUCAGGAUGGGGACAACAGCUGGAAACGGCUGCUAAAACCCGAUGUGCCGAGAGGUGAAAUAUUUAUAGCCUGAAGAUGAGCUCGCGUCAGAUUAGCUAGUUGGUGAGGUAAUGGCUCACCAAGGCGACGAUCUGUAGCUGGUCUGAGAGGAUGAUCAGCCACACUGGGACUGAGACACGGCCCAGACUCCUACGGGAGGCAGCAGUGGGGAAUUUUCCGCAAUGGGCGAAAGCCUGACGGAGCAAUACCGCGUGAGGGAGGAAGGCUCUUGGGUUGUAAACCUCUUUUGAUCGGGAAGAAGACAGUGACGGUACCGAUCGAAUCAGCAUCGGCUAACUCCGUGCCAGCCGCCGCCGUAAUAC
rnacentral:rRNA from 1 species